UACUGCCGCAAUGCAAGACCCAUGUCUGGUUUAACUCUGUACUACAUUGGAUGCUACCUGUGAACUUCAACCAGUUACGAUUUUACUGUUUCCCUUGCUAAAUGAUGGCAUGGGAAGUUAACCCCUCUAUUUAUGGUGGCAUGAAAUUAAAGAGUUGGUUGUUUUAUGUUUUCAAUAGUCAUGAAACUCCCUUUCCAUGUUCCUCUUGCCAUAUCAUAGAGUUUCAAUUGUAAUUUUGCUGUAAUUUUACUAUUUGUAUCUUUACUAUUUUUUAUGGGACAUAUGCCAGAUAAAUCCUGCCCUGAGCAAUUAUAUUCAAGGAAACACGUGCAGCAAGUGCAGACGUGCUGCUUCUAUCGUGAGAGUGGAAAUGGAUGGGCUGCACAUAGCAUUUUUGACCAUUUUGAUUAGAUAUAAAUAACACCAGAGGUGAAGUGUUAGUGGGGUAUCAGGUGUUUCCAUGAUUUUGUAAUGAUACCAGUUAUAGUGCUGACAUUUAUUUAGUUGCCACACAGUCGCAUACGAGACACUGCAUGGUUCUGUGUUCUGCCUAGGGAGAAAAUUAUCAAAUCAUCUGUUUUAGAUUUUUUUAGGCCUCAAAUCUCAUCAGACUUACUCUCCUGAGACUUCAGUAUCUCCGAUAUCUCCUUUGUAUAUAGGAAGAGAAAGUGAAUCACCAUCUCUUUUGAUUUCCAUAUUCUGGGAUCCAUGUUAACUUGCUGCAUAACAUCCAUGUACUUUUAAAGGAAUUCCGCCUCUCUUCUUCCAAAUACUCCUAAAUCCACCUGUUUCUUUAGUGUGGAAUAUAAUGAUAGCUCUAAUUCUUUAUUUUUUUUUUUUUGCAUAUGUAAUUUGAGCUGACUUUGCUGUGGAAAAAACACUUAGCUCAAAUUUAGUAUGUAUUGCACUAUUUAUGUGUUCUUAUGUGACACGUCCCAGAGAAAAAAUAAAUGAGAUGGAUCAUAUGAAUCAGAAAAGAAGGUUUAGAAACUUCUUCAGGAAGAUACGGAAAUGCAAAUCAUUUUAGGAGCUAGCACAUUAAAUGGACUAGUGUAAAUGCUUGACUUCAGUGGAAUAGCCCCCGACUUCCACCGAAUCAGCCGGGAUCCGAAUCUUGUCCAUGCAUCUUCAUUAUGAACAAGCUCCAUUAGCUCUAUUGAACAGCAACUUACAUCAUCGAGGGAGGUAAUUUACAGUUUUUAUAACCAUCAUAAUUUGUAGUACACAACUAACCACACAGCCAUUCUUUCAAAACAUCAAGAUAAAUCAUGAGGAAAUCAAAGGCAUAUUUAAUGUUUGAUGACAAAUGGCUACUAACAAACAUUUAUUGCAAUGAAUUGUUGUUAAAAAUGGUGAUUACGGGGGAAAUGCUGAACAGAGUUGAUUAGGACCACUUGUAGAGUUUUUUCGGCUGCCUCUCCUAAGUGCAAUGGACCACCAAGUUUAGUUUAAUCCUAUCUAAUUCUGCACAGGGUAAUUAUGGCAAAUAAUGGUAAAUGAAUCACAUGCCCGUACAGGAGUAUCACAGCCAUUGUGGCAGUUAGAUGAAUGUGGUGUCAGAGGGAUUAAUGUGGUAUAAUACUGUGAUCACUUUUUGCAGCCUGUUAUUUAGUCUAGCCAGCUCCCUUUCAUUAAGGUAGAGCAAUACAAUAAGGUUAUUAUAGGCAGGCUGACAUAUGAGUGCCUCCAUCCUACAGGGGACUUUUGGCACCUUCUAAAAGUCUUGUUUUGUGCAUUAAUGGGGGGUGAAGGGGAGAGAGAGACAGAGACCAAAUUUGCCAAUGCUUGGGAAAGAUUGGCAUGUGAAGGAUCUGCAUACCACUGUGCCAACAAAGUAAUUAGGCCUGAAAAUUAGGUUGUAUGUACCGCAGAAUUCAUGGGGGUCCAAAAAAGCACAGGGAGCAAGUUUUUGGCAAAGAAACUCAGCUCUCCCUCUCAGAGGAGAGGGGAUCAGAGAGCCGACAGAGAGGGGGAACUAGCUGUAGAGAGGUAGCUAAAUAGCUGAGUGAAGCAGUUUAAAUUGGCCGCAUAUGAUCUACAAGAAAGGACUCUGCUCCGUAGAGGAAACCUAAAUGCUGCCACUCCAGCAAAGAAUGACACCCAUAACUUUGACAUCUCUCUCAACAUACUUCCUAACCUGUCUGAUGUGGAGGCCUUUUCUAAUACCCUAACUAAUGGUUUCCUGUUAUAGACCACGGAAGAAGUCAGUGAUAGGGUGGAUUAGGAGCGGUCUGGUCCUAAUCAAUACAGGGAUAUACAUUCAAAGAUGACUUUAAUGACAGUGUUCCUAGCUGAAUGACAAUAGGUAUUUUAAGGGUCAGAUCUGUAAAAUCAGAUCUUCUGAGGCACCGAGUCAAUGAACACCAUUUUGUGAAGCUGGGGAGAACUGGUUGCGGGGGGUUUACUUUAAUAAUGAGAAUCCUAAAAAUGGAGUGGAAAAAAUGUAUUCCCUAAGCUAUUGCUGUAACCCCAGUAGGCAGAAAACUACAGCUAAUUUUUGUCCUUGUUUUUUUCUAAAAAAAAGAAUACUUACUCAAACUAAUGUAUCCUUCUGAUUUCCAUCCUACUGAGAAAUAGGUAAUACUGGGAAUCUCACAAAAAACCCAUUGUUGAACAAUUUACUGCUGAGAUUUACUGACCCAAGACAUGUGGAGGGUUUGGAUUAAUUUUGAACUAGCAUCAGCUUUUGAGGGAGUUGUUUUCCAAACCAAACCUGUACAAGAUGGUGCUUUGGCCCAGUUGCUGCCAUUUCAUGCCACCUGAGAGGUGUGGAGGUGAUGGGACAUGACUCCAGGUAUCUAGCUGAGAAAGUCCCCAAGCAAGGGGAACUCACCUGCGGCAGCAAGCCAACUAUUGAAGACAGAACUGGAAAUAAGCCAAGUCCUGAGAAAGCACUUUGAGAUAUGAAUAACCCAUGAAGAGCUACCAAAACAGUGGCCUUGCCAUGUUUCACAGGGGAAGGGAUGAUAAAGUGUUACAACCCAAGCCUACCUCAACUGCAGGAGAAUGCAGGUACUAUGCGGUAGAAGACUGCUCUGAGUGACGGAGACGAAGCAAGCUGAAGUCACAUUAAGCAAGCGAAACUCAUGCAAUUUACUCCCGUGCUUCACCUUCUUUAUUACAUUCAUUUGAUUACACCGUACUUAGACAGACGUGUGCUCGCUGGCAGGCUGCACAGAACGCCAAUGCUGAUGAUACCUUAAAUCAAGACAAUGAAUAAACACAGGUUUGAAUAUGAAUUUCCGUAGGGCGGAAGAACAAUGGUCGGAGGUGGAGCUGUUAUGUGAAUAGACCCUGCUAUGGGUUAGAUUCAAGACAAACAUAAUGGAAGUGAAGAUUACAUACUUGUACAUUGCUGCAACAGAGUUGGGAGUCAGUUGACUGGGGUCGGACCCAACGAGUACUAGCUGAUGGGAGUGAAUUAACGUGGUGCAAGGUGACCAGUGGAGUCCUUCAGGGCUCAGUUCUCUGGCCAGUACUCUUCAACAUCCUCAUUAAUCAUCUGGAUUCGGGCGUCAGAUGCGGACUGGAAAAGUUUGAGGACGACACUAAACUAUGGGGGAAGGCGGCCACACAAAAAGACAGGCUGGGGAUACAGGCCAACCUGGACACCCUUGCAAGUUUCUUAUUAGGACCUUCUGAUUCCUCUACGUUACAGUGAGCAUGGCAAACAGUUCAAGGAUGGAUGUAAGAGGAGAGUGAAAUGCUUUUUUUUUUUCAAGAGGCAGUAUAAAGGAUUCGGGUUAUCAAUAUAAGAAAUACUUGGCUCUCACUUGCAUGACUGCCCUAUUUGGAAUGCAUUAAUGCACAGCUGGGGUUAAUUUUCACCUAAAAGUAUUGCAAACUGAUACACACACGCAAGCCAAAAGUUGACUCUAUAUGCUGUCCCAACACUAUUAGUUAAUAUGUAUCUGCACAUUUUCUGCACUUUUACACCCACAUUGUUUCCUUUAACACUUGCUAAUUUCUCCAUGUCCUUAUUUAUUAAUUACGGUGGCUUUUCUUGCACAGAGAUCAAAGAGCUGAUUCGUCCCGUCUUUUCCAUCUGUAUUAAAUCAGGAGUCACCCCAAUAUAGCCAAUGAAACUACACCACUGUAUAGCAAGGUAAAAAUGGUGUGAGGUGUAUGAAAUGAAGUCCCAGGUCUAUAUCCAAUAUGCCUGGAUACUUCAUACAUAUACAUGACAUCAUACAUCAGACAUUAUUAUUUAUAAAGCAUUUUGGGCAUAUGUGAUAAUGGAUCUGUUCCAAAGUUUUUUCCAUUGAUUUCACUGAGUUUUUUUUGGCAAACAUUCCAGCCAUAAAGAACUGUCAUUUCAAAUGGGCCCGACAGCCAUACGUAGCAUAAAGUUUUGAGGGGAAGGACCUGAGAGGCCACCAUUGCUGGAGGUUUAACUUGUGGAAGCAUUUAAGAAACAAAUAUGGAGUUCUGGGGAAGAAAGAAAAUUCUUAGUGCAUGAGACAUGGAAGGAUGUUCCAAAUAUAGAUGGUGGCCAAAAAGACAACACGCAGCCAAGAAGAAGAGACAAAAUAUCAUUAGCAGAUGGGAUGGAUAGCGAUAUGUAAAGUGAAUGGGGGAACUGGAGGAAAUGAGAGAACAUAUGUAGAGGGGAAUGGGCUGGCAUCUAGCUCUUUGGGACCUGGGAGUAUACAUGUUAUUUAAGACAAAGGGAUUCUGAGUUCAUCUGUAUGAGUCAGGAACGAGAUGCUGGAAACUAGAAGAAACAAAGAAACCAAGAAUUUAGGAAGGGGAUGGUAACUAUAAUUAAAAGAAAGGGAAGAAGAGUGAAACUAAGCUACUUGCUGUCUCUCUCCCCUCUUUGGAGUUCAGGGUGCCUAUGCAUGUGCAGCGAUUAAUUGAAUCUGCUGGAGCGUGGUAAUUACCGUACUCCAGCAGACUCCAGUGUCACAUGUAUCAGCAUCCCCACACUGAAAAGUGGCUGCGGGGGCGCUUUAUCUAACGCUUAUUCGGGGACUGUUGUUUUUUCUUUAGAUCAAGACAACCGUGAGGGUGAUCAUAUAAAGGCUCAGCUAGUUUCUUUAAAGUAAACCCCCGGCUUUGUGCAUCUUAGAGCCAGUCUGGAGGCCAGGUAGCAUAGCCACGAGAGGAGAAGAACAAAAGGAUGCAUUCCAGAGACUGGAGCGACUGACUGUGAAAGGGCUUUCCAAGCCUAGCACGGUGAAGCUAGGACAGUUUCUACACUACUGAAAUGCAAGGAAAGGAUCCCGUUAGCAUCACAUCCACGCUAUCUCCGACUUCUUAGCCUGAGUGACCAUGAACAUUUACAGCUGGGUCAUCUGGAUGUGACCUCUGUCCCAAGUCUGGAGAGGGGCUCAAACACAUGGCUCUGAAGCCAUAGCAAAACCACUCUGCCACCACACCCAGUGUAGUGGCCAAAACUCGGAGUACAACCCUUCCUGGGACACGGAGAUAUCUGGAGUCAGGCUGUGAUUUGUGGGCCAGUAACUUUGGUCAGCUUUGUCAUGUCUCAGCCCUUUAUUGCGCCUUCAAAAAGCGACGUUUUUAGCUUCACCAGGUACAUUUUCACACAAACCGGGCUGAGAUCAUUGGACUUUUCUUGACAUCAGCCAUUUUAGAGCCACUGUUACACUAACAAAACCCGAAAUUUACUGGGCCGGAAAAGUAACUGUAAUGUCAGUUGGGUCUUUGGGCAAUCCAGGUCAUUUUCUUUUACUGGCAUGAUGGGGUUACGCUAUUUCACACUAAUUUGUCCAAGGGAUUUUUGUGGAAGUGAAUGCAGGAGCGGAGAAGGUGGGGGUGAUGGUUCCCAUUAAUUGUCCUGUUUGUUCCUCUGCUUUCUGAGCAGCAAUCUAAACAGAACUAAUUCUGAUGUUCCACUGUGCGUUGUCUGCCUCUAAGUGAGAACAAAACAAAAGCAGCAUUAAAACUGAACUAUGUGGUCAUCCACACACCAUACUGGUUUGGAUGACUCUCUGUCUAUGUGGCUUUUUGUAUUAGGGCUUAUAUCAAUGGCCUCCUUGUUGUCUGUUGAGCCCCCAUGGGGUUACAUGAGUACUAUCUCAAUUCAAUAGCUUUUCUCUACGCCAUUGUCUUUUAAUAUAGGUUUAUAGUCCUCAAGGAUAUAUGCUGCAUUACAAUUAGUCAUAAUGUCCAGCAGUUACUGAGGCUUAUUUGCAACACAGAGUUUAUUGCCCUUUGUAAGGCUGACAAAGAGAUCCUUGUUGAGAGCUGUAUACAAAAGGCAAACACAAUGUAUGAAUUUCUCAAUAAUACAAAGGAUGAAAAUAAUAGUGGGUGAGUAGCUGGUUAUGUGCGGGACCAAAUAGCUGAGUCUCCUCUUGCUGCUGCCCCCUUUGCUUCAUGCCUAGAUUUCUUAAAUUAAUUUAUCUGACCUAAUUUUAAAGGAAUAUCAAUCAGAAAAGGGAAAAAAAAAAUAGCAGGCAAGUGACUGCAUUUCAUCCUGUCUUCAUCUCUGCAUUUUUGUUGUACAGUAGCGGAAAAGAAAUGAACUGGAAGGAAUUAUGCUCCAUGUUUUAUAUCCUAUGCUGGAGGUCCUUGUCAUUUCUCAAGUUCAAAACCACACUCCACGUCCUCUCUCCUUUGCUUAACACAAUUUGACUUUAAAUAAAAAGAAAAAAGAACUUGCAAGAGCAUCAGUUGUAACAGAAGCUCUGACAUGACAAAAUAAAGUUCACUUCUGUAAUAAAAAGCAUUCUCCAUUUCAACAGAGACUCGGGCUAUUCUGCUCCAUAAAGAAUGCUCUGUUAACGCCACUUUUACACAUACAUCACCCAGCUCACACGCUGCCAGAGGGAUUUCACAGGCACAAGAGGAAACAACCUAGCACAGGCUAACAGGAUCCUCCAGUAAGAGAUCAGAAUUACCCUAGGAAGUCCAAGUGUCACGGCACAUUUUGCUGCAGCACCUUGCACAGAAGAGUUGCUGACUUAACUCUUGAGAUCUCAUCCUGCUCCUUCUACACCUCCUUGCAUUUGCUUUGAAUUAAAUUUCAGAAUAAGACAAGCAGGAUUUGGGCCUUUGCUCCUUUCCAGAUUGAUAUUAUUCCAGCCUGCCAUCUGGACCUCGAAGCUGAAAAGCAAAGUCUAAUGUGUCUGAGAAAAGGAAACAAUUAAAUAUCAGGGUCUGUACACUGUUUACCCACUGAAAAUAGUAGCUCUGUUUAAAAUGUUUGGACAAGAUAUUAUGGUGAAAUGGAAGAAGAGCUGGGAGGGAACCCAAGACAGAACAAACGCUGAAUUUUGUCUCCAACCUUCAGCCUCACAGGUCCAGGAUUUGGGGAAAGUUCACAUCUGGAUCCAAACUGCACAACUUGUGUGUGUUAACAUGGCAGCCGAGGGACACACAAUCCAAACACCUCAGAAAUGCCAGAAAUUCACUUUAAAACGCAAAGUUCACCACCCAGGCAUGACUCCCACUGGACACACAGAAUCUGCCAUGAUGGCCUUUACCGCCACGGGCUCCUGAUUUCUGCAGAGAAAAUAGGUGAAUUAGCAAUAAGCAGCCACUGUCCUAUAGUAAAGGAGAAGAAGGCACCGACUCGCUGCCAGGGAACAAAGUUUAACUUCCUCUGCUCCCAUCACCAGGACCUACUCUUUACUCCCAGAACUAGUUGUCAAGUCUGCAGUCGAACAUGUGGAUCGUGGAUUAGCCCCCUUGGUCACCUGCAGACUCACCAGUGACUUCCUUCUUUACUGGACAACUGUCUUCCUCAUAUUAGGGGACUGCUGCUGAUGAUGAAUAAGAGGAAUCAUCUGUGACCAGUGGAUUUUCAAAUGAAAAGCUGCAGGUUUUUAAUCCAAGUCUACUUUGUGUAUCUGCUGCCACAACAUGGGAAGAGCUGGAGGACGGAUUGGGCUUGGGUUGUGCCUCACCAAUUUACUCUGAAUAAAUGUAGCUGAAAUAUCAUCACCAGCUUGGAUCCGGGUUUGGUUUUUUUAAUUUCCUUUUCCUAAAGGCAAAUGAAGCAGAGCUGUACAUUGCACCUCUGGCAUCCAGGGAACUGGAAAAUUUAACCCUUAAAAGGCUUAGCAUCUUGAGGACAAGAACAUCUGUAACAAACUGAGAUCAUCCAUUUAAGUGCUAGCCCUUUUCCUCUUAGCAGCAGGAACCAUCAUCCUCAUUCAUCCAACAAGCAAUCAAGACCCCAUCCCAGCAUUUCACCCCACUUUUCCACUGCAUUGGAGUGACUUCACUUCUGUGAAUCGGCCUAGUCAUCAGCCUCCCAUGAGCCAACUGCAACUCCCUGCAAUAGCUGUCAUGCCCCGGCCAGGUUCCCAUAGCUCAAUUCUCACCUGUCUGCCAAGACUGUGUCUGCUGAGGGCAUGUAGCCCCUUGUAUAGAAACAAUAAGCUUGUUGCAGUCUGCUUGUCUCUCUCUGGCAUUUCUUUCCUUGAUGACAAGGAAUUGGCAUGCCUCAUCUGUUGGAAAAAGUACUCUAGAAAAAAGGUGGAGCAAGAAGAGGGCCUUGCCCUGUAUGAGGGAGGCAGGUGACUGAUGACUGGCUCUUGCUCAGUUCCUACCCCAUUAUUCAGUAAUAAAACUGAUCUUUUAUGGAAUUGCAUUGUCCAGUGCUCUGGUUUAGGGGCCUCCUGGCAUAUUUUUUGGAGUGCAGUUCUUCUAUUUAGCACCCUAUCCAGGGAGUUGGGAUGCAUAGUUUAGAUGCUCAGGAUGUCAACCCCGAGACCCUCCUGUACCUUAAAUAUGCAAUCUCCUAGCUUUGUGGGUCUCUGAACCUUAACUGUUCAGAUAAUGAAAGCAACUAAUACCCGCACAACCUUUGCAUAAGAUUCUGAAACACCGUUGAAGUUGACUUAGCAGCAUGAGAUGCAGAUCUGGGCAAAAAAUAAUAAACCCUGCAUGCCUUUCCCUGCCUCAGGUUCCUUAGUCAGAAUCCUCAGGGUGCCCAGGGUGGCUCUUAUGGACUCCAUACUAAAGUACAAACAGAUCCUAGAUGUGAAUAUCUUUGCUUAUUUGGGGGUCAAGUUAGUCUGACAAGUUUACUGCCCUUUUGUACUAAAGUAAAAUGUUGCUCUGGUGGAAAAAAAAUAUAUAUAUUUUCAGUGUAUCCACCCUGAUAAAUGACAGGGACUCAUCAGGUCAGGAUAUACUCUUUCCAUGUAUUGCAGGCAAGGGUAACUUUUGCUGUUGUUGUUGAGUUCAACCCUUGAGGGCUGAAAGCAUUCUCUUAGCACUUUAGUAGCAACAUCAUCUAUUAGCUUUUUAGCCCAGGAAAAAUUUCACAGGGAAUUGUAAAUUGUAGCUCCCUGCAAGCGCUGUGCUAUAGGACCCUUGGUCUGAAAAUUCUUAACAAAUUGCUUACUACUUGGACAUUCAUCACCUAGUUUGAGAUGAGAUGCAGAACCGCGCGUGGUUUUUUUCACAUGCCAGCCGUCUGCAUUUUAAAUUCAUCCCGAGGAAAAGGAGCUGGCAAUAAGCAAUGAGAUGCAUGUAUUUUCCUGAAUGGGGUGGUCUAUGAGCAGAAGAUUAUGAUCUAUUUUCUUCUGCAGCAGGUAUUAGGAGUAGAAAUGCUCCUAUGUCAGCAUCAAUUUAGGGUGGUUUGUUGAAGAGUAUCAAUUUAGGCAAAGGUUUUACAUUAGCAUCUGUUACAAGAGUUACUUUAAAAAAAAUAACGAUGUAUACACGCAUAAAUUAUUAUGUAAACUGCCUAUGCAUAAUAAUAUUAUAGAUUCAUAGAUGCUAGGGUUAGAAGGGACCUCAACAGAUCAUCGAGUCCGACCCCCUGCUCUGGGCAGGAAAGAGUGCUGGGGUCAGAUGGCCCCAGCCAGAUGCCUAUCCUAUUAAUACCAUUACUACUAAUAAAGAUUUUUUAUUUAAGACUACCAAAUGUGUUCAUGCUGAAGACAUAGCUGGCCUUAAUAAAUACUCAUCAUUACAUAAAAAUAAAGAGAAAAAGAAGUUUAAAAUAUAUAGUCACAAGAGGAUUUACUAGUAGAUUUCUAGAUGAUUUGUUAUAUGCGAGCAUAAGUCUGAAGGGCUCUAAUUUAGUUUAAUGGCACUGAAAGAUGUUCGGUUAACUCUGACCUCCUGCACAAUGGUAUAAAUCUGAUCUAACUCAGCUGAAGACCCUGGAGAUUGUCCUGGUGCAAAGUUAGUCUGUGGCCAGAAAGAGAUCCAUUUCCCACAAAUAUGCCACUGAGGAAUAUUGCUGCCUGGUGAAAGCCUUGAUGGCCGUGCAGGGGCCUAGCGCAUGAACUUUGUGUGGGUGAGUUUUGUAGAAGUGGGCUGGAAGGCUUCCCAGAGCUGUCAGACCACCCCCGCCCCAAAACCCCAGCAGCUUCUGGGUAGUCUUUACCACAGGCUUAAGGCAGUAGGUUACCUGACACUUCACUUCCAUGCAAAGGCUUUGACUCACAGAUCUGCAUCCUUCGUGAACUCAUUACAUACAAGGACCUUUUCUGCCUGGCCUCCUUGUAGCUGCAGUGAAACGGACACUAUUUAGCUGCCCUUUUGGCAUUUUAUGCCUUCAUUAAAGAGAGUAGAAGGGGGUAUGAAUUUUUCUCUAGGAGAUUAAAAUAAUAAUGGCCUAUUACUGGCAGCAACAGAAGAAAACACAGGUACGAACAGCAGUGCAAAAUGUUACACAAUGCCGCUCUCAUUAUUGGUUGCAGUUUCAAACUCUCUGCUGUGUAAUUCCUUUCCUUGCCAACACUUUGAGUCUUCCCAGCUCCAGUUACAAUGCAUUUUUCCAGUUCUUUUCACUUUUUACCCUGAUGCUUUGGACAUAACCUUUCAUUCGCAAGCUCAUUAGAUAGUCGCGGCUUCCUUUUUUCAACACUGUCUCUGCUCCAAGGUGUUUUCAAUAUGGAAACCCACAGGAACCGAGAGAGAGAAUGAGAGAGAAGUAUUUGUUUGGGUGGAGGCACUCAAGUGAACAGGCAGUCAGAAGCACCUUCUUGGCAUAUCUAUAUGUGCCAUUAACAUGCAACAAUAAACUGCGGCGCUUGUUCCUCUUUAUUUUAUUGCUCCUGGGUGCACAGUAUACACAUGCACUUGGACUGCACUGCUCUGAGCCCGGCUGGAGCAGCCCUGGCUGGCAUGGGGUUCAGAGGGCCAGCCUGCCAGCCCAGGGCUGCUCCAGCUGGGCUCAAUGUGCUCUGGAGGUGCUCAUUGGGGCACGAGGGUGCUUCAGUACAGGGCUAGCUGGCAACGUGAAAAAACAGGGUGAGCUGGGUGAGCGGCUGCACAUGAAAAAACUUUGCAGCAGGGUACGACAAGUAUUCCAGGGGAGGGUAACUUGUAUUCACAUGUAUUCCAGGGAAAUACCCUACACUGCUGCAGAGUUUGCUAGUUUUGUGCACCUUUAUAGGAGUACGUGUGGAGACACUGAGAUGUUUACUGCACAGUUAAUUAGUCAACUGCACAGUAAAUGUCUCGUGUAGAUGUGCCCCCUCAAAGUUAAACUAAGCUUAUUUUCAACCAACAGACAAACCCCCCUUGUUGCAAAAAUCCCUGGCAGGCUUAUACCUGCAAUAUGGAAUAGUAUACAUAGGAAUAUGAGCAAGUGGAUUUGUCUUUCCCCAUUCACAUAAAUACUUCUAUAUGCAGCUACAUUUUCACUGACUACCUGUCUUGUAUGCAGACCAGCCCAGCCUCUGGCUUCUUUACUUUCAUUCCAUCCAAGAAGAGCACACACCAACUGCUGAAACUUCCUUAGCCUGACCAAGGGUUUUUGAACCCGAAAGCUUGGUUAAAAAUUGUUCUUCAACUAUUUAAAGUCGGUCUAAUAAAAGAUAUCAGAUUCACCCAAAAACCUUGUCUACCUAUGUCCUUAGACCAACAUGGCUACAACCUACACCCCUAUAUGCAACUGUAAGUUUCCUGCAGACAAAACCAUUUCCAAGACAAGUUUAAGGCAGAAUGAUCAUAUUCUUUGCUAUUUUGUCCCCAAAGUGGGCUGGAUCGAGAGAUGGUAUAGAUCAGUGCAACUCCCACUGACUGAGAUGAAUAUAGAUGACCUUUAAACCUGUUACUUGUUACAGGGAAAUCCCUUUUCGUCAUAUAUUUCUCUCCCGUGAAACAGACUAAAGUUGAUGUCAGCCAAAGCGUAGAAUUAUCUAUCGCAGGAAAAGUAGCAUGUGGGGACUAUAAGCAUGUGGGUUUAGGAGGAAGGAAAUAUGUUCUAUGCUUUGAAUAGGGGAAUAUUGCCUGGGUUCUUAUUCCUCUUGCUGCUUAUUGAUGUAUACAAUAAAUGAGAGGCACAUCCCUA